AGAACGAACGCUGGCGGCAUGCCUAACACAUGCAAGUCGAACGGGACCUUCGGGUCUAGUGGCGCACGGGUGCGUAACGCGUGGGGAUCUGCCCUUAGGUACGGAAUAACUCAGGGAAACUUGAGCUAAUACCGUAUAAUGACUUCGGUCCAAAGAUUUAUCGCCUAGGGAUGAACCCGCGUAGGAUUAGCUUGUUGGUGAGGUAAAGGCUCACCAAGGCGACGAUCCUUAGCUGGUCUGAGAGGAUGAUCAGCCACACUGGGACUGAGACACGGCCCAGACUCCUACGGGAGCAGCAGUGGGGAAUAUUGGACAAUGGGGGCAACCCUGAUCCAGCAAUGCCGCGUGAGUGAUGAAGGCCGUUAGGGUUGUAAAGCUCUUUACCGAGAUGAUAAUGACAGUAGUCGGAAGAAGUAAGCUCCGGACUAACGUCCGUGCCAGCAGCCGAC
rnacentral:rRNA from 1 species